GUGCGUUGUGGCCUAAUGGAUAAGGCAUCAGCCCCUGGAGCUCGGGAUUGUGGGUUCGGGUCCCACCAGGGUCA